rnacentral:lncRNA from 1 species
GUUGUCAUUUCAAUAUUAUAAUUAACAUUGCCAUUAAAGCAGGAGGUUUGGCAUGCCACAAAACCAGGUUCAACUCACCAAGUUUUUCUUAAAAUGCCCUCUUCUGAGUCAGGAAAAUGGUCAUUUUAAUGUUGUGUUUCUUUUGUGUCGUAUUUCUCUUAUACUUGAUAUGUUGUCCUAAGUUUUAAUUUGUAACCAAGAUUUAUUUUUUCUCUAUCGAUAUAUGAAUUUCAAACAGCUUGAGUUCUUGUUUUUUUUCAUCUCAAAUUGAUUUUUCUUUAACUAGUAUCUUGUCCUGAAUAAAAUUGAUUUUUCUUUAAC